rnacentral:lncRNA from 1 species
AGAGAGCAGGAGCAUAUGGACAGAGGAGAGGCAGAAGCCGGGCUCUGCAGGGCUGUGGAAGCUGGAGGAGUAGGUUGUCCCAGAGUCCCGUACCCCUGGGGAUCCAGGAAGCAUUUCAGAGCUUCCUGUGUGCAGCAUGGAUCUAAAGCUGGUGGAUGCAGGGGGGUGAACAAGACAACAUCUUCACUUCCUGCAUGCUGAUGGCAGAAGUGAGACAUCAGCGAAGAAACAUCACGAUCACCAAAUUACGAUGAACACCAUGGAGGAAACAAAGGACACUGUGACACCAAGGAAGGAAGGGAGGUUACUUUUCAUAGUGGCUGUAAAUAGAACUGAAGGCUGAAAAACAGCUGUUAAAAUGGCUUGUUUGUUUGAAGAUGAAUGAGAGUACACAAUAAAAGGAAAAAAAUUUGGACACAGACACACACAGAGGGAUGACCACGUGGAGAUGCAGGGAGAGGAUAGCAGCUACAGGCCAGGGCGAGAGGCCUCAGAGGAAACCAGUCCUGCUGACUCUUUGAACUCGGACUUCCAGCCUCCAGAACUGAACCACUGUCUUCCUUUAUCCCAGGAUGUCUGCAAGGAAGAAAAUGUCCUUUUUCUAGCAUUUAGAGGCCACCAACAUUGAAUAACCACACUGGGGUAGACACAGCGGCGAAGAGAUUCCUGCUGUUCCCAUCACAGCAGCCUUGGAGAUGAGAAGACAGAUGGAUCUGACCAGAAGUCUGGAGAACUUCGAGAAAAAAGGAGGAGGACACAAAAGGAAAUAACAAAAAAGAUGCAUCCGGAGCAACUAUGAGGAUGGUAAAUUGGUGUCUAAUUCUGAAAAUCAUAAUUGGUAUAAAUGCUAUGUACUGUGGAAGGAGGGAUGAAGGGUAGAGGGAAUAAAAAAGAACAUGAAGUUAGAAUCCUUGGCAUGAAAGCCUGCCAUUUAUACAAGCAAACAAACAAGAUCAGGGACUAUCAACUGGCUGGCUGAAUUGGACCAAUAGGCAGGUUUAUUCAGCCCCACACUUCAAAAAUUAGGAGAUCUCCAAAUUAAAAUCUGGGAAUCUGACCUUUUGUAACAAAUCAGAGGAUUUGCAACACCAAGAGCAUCAUCACAGGCAACGACCAGCUUGGAUGGGCAGCGGCUGCCCCUGCAGGUGGGUCAGGUGCUCUUCCGUUGGACACAGUCUCCACCACUCCCUGUCGCUUGCUCCUUGCUCCCCAUCAGCAUAACUGUUUGGGCCUUAUAGCAUAUGCAUUUAUCACUCCCUACUAGGACGUCCACAACAUGAAAUGAGAGAACGAUUUGGUAAGUUCAACAAAAGGCAUAUUAUGCAGCCACCAUACAUUCUUUGUGGAAAGAGAAGUGGCAUAAAUCAAUUCAUAAAUUAUCUCAAGUUGUUUCCUCUGGAGUCCUGGGCUGGCUGUUGGAUGAAUUCAUCUGUCUUCUAGCAGAUGGACAAGAAAAUUGAAUUGUAGUGGCCCAUCAGGUGUCGAUCGCAGCCUCUGGGUCCGUGUAGGUGAGCCCUCACCACAGAGAGAAUGAGAGCUGGCUCUAGGACGGGGUGUUGAUCUGUGCACAGCUGCCCGGGAAAGGGCCUAGAGAGAGGAGCUAUGGGUCCUGCACUGACAUCAGCCUUGAACAUGAGGCUGGCGUGGCAGCGGCGGCGGGGUGGGGGGGGACAUGAAUAAUUCAUAUCGCAACCAGAUUGAUGCUCAGUGAGCUUCAAUAGGAAUGAAUUACCUUGUGUGCAUUUCCUGCCUAAAUGUCAGUGUAUCUUUUCACAAGCGCCUGGGACGGGUUUAUGAAUAGGUGCAUUCUCUGAUGCCUCUGCUUUAGGCAAGGCAGUUUCAGAAUCUUGGCUGAGUUUCCAACUUCUGACUUGCUAUUUACAAACUGUAAUCAUAAGAUUUCAAGUGACACAUGACUGAAAAAAAAAAGCCCUUACUCAGGAGAAAUCUGGAUGGAAAUGGAACAAUGGUUUUGAAUGUAUCUGGAUCAUGAAAUGAAAGUCAGGAGGCUUGAGUGUUCUGCUGAGAAAAAGUGAUGGGGGAAGAACAUAAACAUGUAUAGGACACUUACUGUCUUGGGAACUUUAUGGGUGUUCUCAUUGUUAACAUCAUUUAACAGAUGAGAAAAACAGUUCUCAGACAUUGCUGCUAACAGAAAUUCAAUGCAAGCCACAUUUGUAAUUUAAGAUUUCCUAGUAACCACAUUAAAAAAGAGAAAAAUAAAAAAGAGACUGA